ensembl:lncRNA
AUGGUGAGCUUUAAUGACUUCCAUGAAGAUUAUCCCACACUGAAGCAGAUUCAGAAUCGAUCUAAACAGAGCUUCGAAUGUCUGAGACACCUGAGACAAACUGCACAAUGUCAAGCUCUAUGCACCAGUGUCACUGUCCCCUUUUCUAUCAUAUGGAAUGGUCACUGGGGAGUAGCUUCACAUCAGGCACUACACCUUCAAGCCUCCUUUGUAGCCAGAUGGGGAUGUGAACCUGUCUGUGCCUGUUGGAUGUGAGUGGAAGUGAUAGGGUCACUUCUAGCCCAAGGCAGCUGAAAAGCAGGAACGAGGAAUCCAGGGCAGAGAAUGUGUGUGUUAAGAUCUCAGCUUUGGAGAAUCAGGAUCAAACAGGACCACAAAUGUGAACUGAAGGCUUGGUCGAUACAAUUAAGAUUAAAAUGAAGUGGCAGGUACCCGAAGCAAGUCUGACUGUGGCAGAAGAGGGCUGAGGAUUCUCAGUAAUAAUCAAUGUUUACAAGUGAAGAAUUUUUACAAGUGAAGAAUUCUCCCCAGAAGGUAGGGCCUGGGAGAGUUGGAGUCUGUUUAACUUGGAGUGUAUCUAUACAAACAGUGGAAGGACAACUGGAGACUUACAAACAGUGGAAGGACAACUGGAGACUUUCCACUGGCCAGCAUGUCCUGGGCAUGAAUCCUUGCGUGGAACUUAAUUCCAGGCUAUAGAGCACUUCUGAGAACGUGGCCUGGUGCAAGUGUCCCCUCUGCCAUCCCCAAACCUUUGUCAACAUCACUCUCUGAGAAGUCUGGCUACAUUGCUUCAAGAUGAUGCCUCCCAGUUCCCCGGUUGCUACUGUUUCAUUUCACUGUCUGGUUUCCCUUUGAGGUCUUACUAUCUGUAACCUUGUAUCUAACAAGUAAAGCUGGAGGUUUCUUUCACUCCUCCAGUCACUCGUAAGGAUUUUUGCCUGCCCUUGAUAAUAUCGACAGAAGCACUUUAAACUAUUGAUAUGGUUUGGCUAUGUCCCUACCCAAAUCUCAUCUCGAAUCGUAAUCCAAAUUGUAAUCCCCAUAUGUUGGGGGAGGGACCUGGUGGGAGGUGAUUGGAUCAUGGGGGCAGUUUCCUCCAUGCUGUUCGUGCUGUUUUCACGGUAGUGAGUUCUCACCAGAGCUGAUGGUUUUAAAGUGUGGCACUUCACCUUUGCUCCCUUGCUCUCUGCCCUGCUGCCUUGUGAAAAGAGGUGCUUGCUUCCCCUUCCACCAUGAUUGUAAGUUUCCUGAGGUCUCCUCGGCCAUACAGAACUGUGAGUCAAUUAAACCUCUUUUUUUUUUUUUUUUUUAAAUAAGUUACCCAGUCUCAGGUAGUAUAUACUGGGGUGAAAAUGGACUAACACAACUAUUAAAUUGUUCUGUUAAGUAUGAUAAAGUCAGAUUAAGUUUCAUAAAUGCAAUUAAACUGUGUAUUUCCAAAACAUGACUGACCAAGAAAAAUCAACAGUUUGCUAUCCGAGAAAAAAGUGAAGCAAAACAACUCAAGCUGAUCUCAUAUCCACAAAUAAAGCCACAUCUUCAUUUUCAGCUAGAGACAUUUCUAGUCUAACCAAUCCACACAAACGAACAAAUGCAAUGGCAGAGACUAAGAAUUUGGAUGUUACAAGAAGCCCAGCAAUUUUAGACACUGAAUUGCAAAGGAUAAUAGCACAAUUUCAUAAUAAUGGUUACUGGUUAUUAAAGUAUUGCCCCACCAGGAUUUUACCUCUAUAAUGUGAAACAUAGCUAUUACAGUAGCAGUAUACCAUCC